rnacentral:rRNA from 1 species
UACGUAGGGCGCAAGCGUUGUCCGGAAUUAUUGGGCGUAAAGAGCUCGUAGGCGGCCUGUCGCGUCGGAUGUGAAAGCCCGGGGCUCAACCCCGGGUCUGCAUUCGAUACGGGCAGGCUGGGGUGUGGUAGGGGAGAUCGGAAUUCCUGGUGUAGCGGUGAAAUGCGCAGAUAUCAGGAGGAACACCGGUGGCGAAGGCGGCCUGCUGGGCAGUUUUGCUGACACUGAGGCGCGACAGCGUGGGGAGCAAACAGG